AGAGUUUGAUCCUGGCUCAGGACGAACGCCUGGCGGCGUGCCUAACACAUGCAAGUCGAGCGAGUUGAUUCUCUUCGGAGAUGAAGCUAGCGGCGGACGGGUGAGUAACACGUGGGCAACCUGCCUCAUAGAGGGGAAUAGCCUCCCGAAAGGGAGAUUAAUACCGCAUAAGAUUGUAGCUUCGCAUGAAGUAGCAAUUAAAGGAGCAAUCCGCUAUGAGAUGGGCCCGCGGCGCAUUAGCUAGUUGGUGAGGUAACGGCUCACCAAGGCGACGAUGCGUAGCCGACCUGAGAGGGUGAUCGGCCACAUUGGGACUGAGACACGGCCCAGACUCCUACGGGAGGCAGCAGUGGGGAAUAUUGCACAAUGGGGGAAACCCUGAUGCAGCAACGCCGCGUGAGUGAUGACGGCCUUCGGGUUGUAAAGCUCUGUCUUCAGGGACGAUAAUGACGGUACCUGAGGAGGAAGCCACGGCUAACUACGUGCCAGCAGCCGCGGU
rnacentral:rRNA from 1 species